rnacentral:rRNA from 1 species
UACGUAGGGUGCAAGCGUUGCCCGGAUUUAUUGGGCGUAAAGGGCGCGUAGGCGGCUCGGCACGUCCGUUGUGAAAUCGCCCGGCUCAACUGGGCGGGGUCAGCGGAUACGGUCGAGCUUGAGCAAGCUAGGGGGCAAUGGAAUUCCCGGUGUAGUGGUGGAAUGCGUAGAUAUCGGGAGGAACACCAGUGGCGAAGGCGGCCCACUGGAUCGGUACUGACGCUGAGGUGCGAAAGCGUGGGGAGCAAACAGG